UACGACUACAUAUCAGGCAUAUCAAUAAGCGGAGGAAAAGGAACUAACAAGGAUUCCCCUAGUAACGGCGAGUGAAGCGGGAAGAGCUCAAAUUUGAAAUCUUAAAGGGUUUCCCUUUACGAAUUGUAGUUUAAAGAAGUGUUUUCUGUUGGAGUUUCGGUAAAAGUUCUUUGGAAUAGGACAUCAUAGAGGGUGAGAAUCCCGUAUUUGACCGUUACUUUCCAGCUGUGUGAUACACCUUCAAAGAGUCGGAUUGUUUGGGAAUGCAGUCCAAAAUGGGUGGUAAACUUCAUCUAAAGCUAAAUAUUGGCGAGAGACCGAUAGCGAACAAGUACCGUGAGGGAAAGAUGAAAAGAACUUUGAAAAGAGAGUUAAACAGUACGUGAAAUUGUCAAAAGGGAAGCGUUUGACACCAGUGUUGUUUAGUUGAAAAUCAAUUCAAUAGUUUUUGAUUCUAAGUAGUAUUGACUUCAUCAGCUUGCUGCUUUCUUCUCAGAAAUUAUUGAAUGCACUUUUCAGUUAACAAGUCAACAUCAAUUUCUUUUGUUGUAAAAGGGUAAGAGGAAGGUGGCUUGCGCUUCGGCUCAAGUGUUUAUAGCCUUUUAUCUCUGCAAUCGGAGAGAUUGAGGUCUGCAGCGUAGAUCCUUCGGGGUUAGAUACAUUGGUGCUAAGCUAUAGCCUUGUAUAGACAACUUGUUGACUAUGCUCAGUCAUGUAGCUUACUCGCUGAUGCUAUUUUACCUACGCUUAGGAUGUUGAUCUACAGAGCGAGAGU
rnacentral:rRNA from 1 species